rnacentral:lncRNA from 1 species
GCUCUCAAAGAGCAUGUUAACUUUUCAAAAGAUUCGGUUUUCUAAUGUUUAACAGAGUGAAAGGGCACACCUUUCAGUUCAGUUCCACAAAUACUUCUCAAGCAACUUCUGAGUAGUGUGGGAAUCUAGAGAUGGGUAAGACUAUGCACUUGUUUUUAAGGAGGUUGAUCUAAUAGAAAAUGAAAGCAGCAUAAAGACCAGAAUAUAUUACAGAACAAACAAGUGAUACCAAGAUAUUGAUUCCAACGAGAAUAUGAGGAUAGAAUAGUGCGUGAACAUUUUGAGCAAGGUACGGAGGACUUUAACAGAAGAGGAUGAAGAGAACAAGAAUAUUUAGGUGGGGACAUGAUUCAAAGAUACUCAGGUGGUAAAAUGAAGAAUUGUUUAUGCUCCAGGAUGUGGUUCACCGAGGCUACUUGGUUGGAGGGGAUGAGGCAGCACGUAAUAGGAAGGGAUCAUGAAAGCAUUUAAAAUAUGCUUUGAUUGGAAUCCAAACUUCACGCCGGAUUCUGUUAAAGAGUGCUCAGCCCAUCCGUGUGAUUAUUGAUAUAUGCUUCACUCGCUGGAUUGGAAAUUCCACAAGGCUCGGGAGUGUUCAGAAGACCACAAAGCAUUUCCAGGGGCCAGGGAGUGAACUUGGAUGGUGUCCUACAGAUUUCAUCGAAUUAACCUUUUAAGGUUAAUUUAUGUGCCAAGACUCAAAAGAGUAGCUUCCCUGCACAGAAACGUCAAAGAAAAGUUCCUGACAUUCUCAAAAAGAGAUGGAUAAGGAAAAGAAUGAGCAGGAGGGAGAGAAUCUUCAUAUUCAGUGAGGUCAAGAUAUGAAUGACCUUUAGAGUUCUUAUUUUCCACAAGAGUAAAGCCCCAAUCCAUCCAAAAUGAUGAAAAGUGAGUUCUGCUUUCAACUGGCACCGUCUCCUUAGCUAAUUUGCUGAAAGGUAGUGUGGGUGGGAAAAGGCAGCUGAGAGAGAGGGUUACGUUUCGUCCUUUCAUAAUUCCCUUCGGCUCACCAGGUAAAUGUAUACUUCAAGAAAAAUCUAUGUGAUGUUUUCACAUAAAAAGAAAACACAGUUGGAAAGUAAUUCAGAUUGUGUAUGGAUUUAGAGAUGUGGACCAGUAUUUCAGAGUUCCCCAAAUUUAUGUAAAAUAAGGCUAUAAAACUUGUUUAUCUAUCUCUCCUUCAACUGAUACCCUGUGCUAUCCGACUUCCAAAUUUGAGGCCCUUUUGUCUCUCGGUAGUUUAUUCUGCCAUCUAGUAUAAUUUACUAUUAACAUCUAGAAGUGUGCUUCUCCUUGACUAUAUUGUGUUAUGAAUCAAAAUGAAAUCCCUCCUUGUGGUCGCUAAACCAGGAAGGAGGAAAUCACCACCCAUGGAAUCUAGCAGAGUUUUGAAACAAAGGAAAAGUUGUGGACUUCAAGCCAGUUGGAUGAACUUUUCAUGCACUUCCCUUUCCCUAACAGCGGGGCAGGGAUGCGGGGGGUGGGGAGGGGUGGGAAAUACCACUAGCAUCACCUCCUACAAAGUUGAGGAUUACAGCAAAAUAGGCAGCCGAGAGGAGCAAUAGAUAAGAAAUAACACACCCAGCCAGAAAAGCAGGACUUUGAAAAAACACAUGAAAGAGACCCAAAGAGAAACGAAGCAGGUAUUGGAGAAGCAAGGUUGUGGAGGAGAAUUAAAACGGCACAUUUCUCUUCUGAGCUUGAUUUAGACUUUGGCAGUGCAUGCAGAGAGCCCUCACUCAAGAAUUAUUGUGCUAACAGGACUUUGUUACUUGGCACAUUGUAGGCUUUAUGUUUUGCUAAUAGUCACAACCACCCUAUAUUUUUAUCUUUUAUUCUCAUUUAACUGAUGAGGAAACCGGCUCAGAGAGAGUUAAGCACCUUGCAGAGGGUCACCGCAAGUAGGAGAACAGAAUUAGGAUUUGAACCUAAACAAGACGUCCAGAGACUUUGUGCCACGCCAAGGAAGUUUCUCUCAUGUGCCCAUAGGUCUCAGACUUGGUUUUCAGCACAUUUUCCUUCUUUCUCCUACACUCUCCUGCCUGAGAGGAUUUGGAAGACUGGAGAAGAGGAACUGGAGUCCAUGAGGGGAAAGGGCACCAUAACCCAACAGAAGAACAAGGCUCACCUCCUGUCCAGGCCUCCGGUUUUCAUUUGUACAACGAAGGAAUUUGCUUGUACGGUUCCUACUGCCUGCUGAUUUAGUCUAAGAAGCACGGCAUAUGUAUAACAGAUGGAGAACUUUCCCUGGGAAAUUUGACCACUUGAGUCAGAGGAGAAAAUGCGCCCAAACCCGAAAUUCCACAAAACUUGGAGAAUAUUUGCACUUGCCCUUGAAUGUAGUUAACUCAAAAGUAUCCCUUGCAAGGUUCUCAUCAACUGAGCGAAGUGCCUUCAUUUUGCUGGGUUUAGUGAAGAAUGAGUCUAGAAAGAGGCCAUGGGGAUAGUGUGUUUUACAACCAGACCCCUAUCCCCCCAUCUUCCAAGGAUGAGCGGAAAUUGUUCCUUUCUGUCCUCUCUCCUGAUGCCGUUUUCUCUCACCUGGUUUCCUCAUGACUCUUAGCUAAGUCCCAGCUAGUGACUCUUUAUUGUGACACAGGUAACACAGUUGGAGUUGGUGAAAAUUUUUGAAAGAACUAAAGCCCAUCUGAUUUGUUGAAAAACAAAAAUAUCCAACAAUGAGGUGAAGAGACCUCAUUUCCCCAUUAUUCAUCCAUUUAAUAUUUCCCGAGUACCUUCUGUGUUUCAAACAUUUUUCUAGUUGUUUGGGAAAUGUUAGUGAAUAAUGUGGAUCGAAAUGGCUACCCUUGCUUUAGGUGUGUAAAUGUUAUGGGAAGAGUGGAUCAGGGUGUGAGGGGCGAGCAGAUUACAGCACUGGGAAGUAUAGGGAAGCCUCCUUGGGAAGUUGAGAUUGGGCUAGGAAUUGAAGGAUCUAGGAAUUGGCUAAGUGGCUAUGUGGGAGAAUAAUCUAGGCAAAGGGACAGCUAGAAGUGACGGUUUGAGUUGGGAGCUUGGUCAUACACUUGAGGAACAGUAAGGAAGCCAGCAUGGCUGGUGCAAGGAGAGAAAAUAAUGGGCGGGAAAGGAAGACAAAGAGAAAGGGGCCAGAUUGGACCUUUGUAGGUUCUUAUAAGGAUUUCAGCUUUUAUUCUGCAUGGAGAGCCAUUGGAGGGUCUGAGCAAAUCAGUAACACCACCUGACACUCCAGCUGCUGGGUACAGGUAGGGUGGCAUUGGGGCAAGAGUUUGUAGGGAGAGCAAAGGAAAUCAAGACAACCAGUUAGAGUUUAUUGUGGAAGGUCGGGGGAGAGUGAUAAUGGCUUACACCAGGCCAGAGUGGUAACAGCAAGUGGUGGUAACCAGGAGUCAGAUUCCGGAUAAUUCAAACAGCACAAAAUCCUGGGAGAUUGGGGAUGAGAUGUGAGGAAGAGAAAAACCAUUGAUCAAGAAGACAUUAAAUGUAAGCUACUAGAAGGAUGGAGUCUCCAUCAACUUAGACACUUGAGAAAGUAUGUAAACUAAUGUGGAAGGAUUAUUUGGGUUUGGGGAAAUGUUUGCUUAAUGGAAGUCUUCCAAAUGCAUCCUGAGUGGAGCUCCUCAAUUACACCCAUAGUUGCAUUAAGUGGUGGCCAUGACUGGUAGAGCAAAGGAGACUGAGGCAGAAAGGAGGUGAAUGAGGAGUGAGGGAUAGAGUAACAUUUAUUGUGUUCCAGUCACUGUAUGAGGCCUUUUUUUUUUUUUUUUUUUUGGUCUUUUUAAGGCCACACCUGUGGCAUAUGGAAGUUCCCAGGCUAGGGGCCAAAUCGGAGCUACAGCUGCCAGCCUACACCACAGCUCAUGGCAACACUGGAUCCCUAACCCACUGAACAGGGCCAGGGAUCAAACCCACAUCUUCAUGGGUACUAGUCAGAUUCGUUACCACUGAGCCGUGAUGGGAACUCCUGGCCUCUUUUUUUACAAGAAAAAUUAUUUAGGUUUAAAGUGUACAAUGUGAGUAUGAAAUAAUGCCAUUUGCAGCAACAUGGAUGAACAUAGAAGUCAUCUCACUAAGUGAAAUAAGACAGAGUAAGACAAAUACUCUUAGAUAUAUGAGACACUAAUAUGUCCAGUCUAAUAAUGAUGACACAGUAGAACUUGCAAAACAAAAACAGACUCAAAGGUUUUGAAACCAAACUCAUGUUUACCAAAGAGGAAAUGAGGGGAGGGGAAGGGUAAUUUAGGGGCUUGGGAUUGAUGUAUAUACAUUGCUAUAUAAGAAAUAAAUGGGUAACUAGGACCUACUCUAUAGCACAGGGAAACUUACUCAAUGCUGUAUAAUAACUUAUAUGGGAAAAGAAUCUGAAAAGGAAUGGAAGGAAUGGAUAUAUGCAGACAUAUAAUUGAUGUACUUUGCUGUAGGCCUUAAAUUAACACAACUUUGUAAGUGAACUAUAUGCCAAUAAAAUAAAAUAAAAAUU